AUUGAACGCUGGCGGCAGGCCUAACACAUGCAAGUCGAGCGAGUGGCACGCGGGUGAGUCAUGUCUGGGAAACUGCCUGAUGGCUGGGGAUAACUACUGGAACCGGUACCUAUUCCCGCAUACCAUCCGAUGUUCCCAGAUGGGAUUAGCUAGUAGGUGGGGUAAAGGCUAACCAAGGCGACGAUCCCUAGCUGGUCUGAGAGGAUGACCAGCCACACUGGAACGGAGACACGGUCCAGACUCCUACGGGAGGCAGCAGUGGGGAAUCUUGCACAAUGGGCGCAAGCCUGACGGAGCAACGCCGCGUGUGUGAAGAAGGUCUUCGGGUCGUAAAGCACUGUCAGUGGGGAGGCGGUACCUGCAGAAGAAGCACCGGCUAACUACGUGCCAGCAGCCGCGGUAAUUC
rnacentral:rRNA from 1 species